rnacentral:rRNA from 1 species
GAUGAACGCUGGCGGCGUGCCUAAUACAUGCAAGUCGAGCGAACGGACGAGAAGCUUGCUUCUCUGAUUUUAGCGGCGGACGGGUGAGUAACACGUGGAUAACCUACCUAUAAGACUGGGAUAACUUCGGGAAACCGUAGCUAAUACCGGAUAAUAUUUUGAACCGCAUUGUUCAAAAGUUAAAGACGGUCUUUCUUUCACUUAUAGAUUGAUCCGCGCUGCAUUAGCUAGUUGGUAAGGUAACGGCUUACCAAGGCAACGAUGCAUAGCCGACCUGAGAGGGUGGUCGGCCACACUGGAACUGAGAAACGGUCCAGACUCCUACGGGAGGCAGCAGUAGGGAAUCUUCCGCAAAGGGCGAAAGCCUGACGGAGCAACGCCGCGUGAGUGAUGAAGGUCUUCGGAUCGUAAAACUCUGUUAUUAGGGAAGAACAUAUGUGUAAGUAACUGUGCACAUCUUGACGGUACCUAAUCAGAAAGCCACGGCUAACUACGUG